GUAGUCUAGGACAGGUCCGUUACAGACAGACAGGUUGUGUAGUCUAGGACAGGUCCGUUACAGACAGACAGACAGGUUGUGUAGUCUAGGACAGGUCCGUUCCAGACAGACAGUCUAGGACAGGUCAACGACAGACAGGCUGUGUAGUGACAGACAGCUGAUAUGAACAGUGAUUAGAGUGUAGUAAUAACAAUA